rnacentral:rRNA from 1 species
UACGUAGGGUGCGAGCGUUAAUCGGAAUUACUGGGCGUAAAGCGUGCGCAGGCGGUUCGUUGUGUCUGAUGUGAAAGCCCCGGGCUCAACCUGGGAAUGGCAUUGGAAACUGGCGAGCUAGAGUGUGGGAGAGGGGGGUGGAAUUCCGCGUGUAGCAGUGAAAUGCGUAGAGAUGCGGAGGAACACCGAUGGCGAAGGCCGCCCCCUGGGCUGACACUGACGCUCAGGCACGAAAGCGUGGGGAGCAAACAGG